CUCCUUGAAAUUACAUUGACUUUUUACCUCUUUUCUCAACCAAUUCUUGACAUCCUUUUCUUUUCUGCUCUUUCCCUUGACUCUCUUCAGCACAUAUGAGACUUUGACGUUGUCGCUCUUAUUUUUCACUUUCUUCUUUUCCUUUUAUUUCAUCUUUCUUUGUUUUUUUCCAGCAUUUUUGUCAUUCCUCUUUUUGUUUCUUUUGACUUCAUUCACAUCUUUUUUCUAUCGUUUUCUUUCUUCUACACAAAACUCUUUUCAUACCCUUUUUCUUUCGGUUUCCUUUUUCAUAGCCACCCUCAACUUAUGUAUUUUGCAUGAGUUGAGGUGCACAAUAUCCGAUGUUGUACCAGGGCCAAGAUUAAGGUAGCUUUUUGAAUUAGCCACCCUCUACUUAGGCUUUUGGCCUAAGUUAAGGUGCAUAUGUCCAAGGAGGGACCGGGGCCAAAACAAUAUUUUUAGGGAAGGUGAAUUAGGUGUAUUGAAAAAAUUGGUAUUAGUUAGACUCAAACAUUUGGAUCAAAG
rnacentral:lncRNA from 1 species